ACUAAACCAAUGCAACAAUCAAGAAGGCGAUCGAGAAGACAUGAGUUCUGAAACUGUAGUAUAAGUUUUUAUGGCAGAUGUGAGCUUCACCUCAUCUUACUUCCCGCCACAAAGACAAUAAGAGAAGGAAACCUCUAACAAUAAAGAAGAUGUAGUACAACCGCAUACACAUACCGUCGAUACAAAGCAAGAAAGAAAGCAGUCCUCGCCUCGGGUGAGCC
rnacentral:lncRNA from 1 species